rnacentral:rRNA from 1 species
GCUCAGGAUGAACGCUGGCGGCGCGCCUAACACAUGCAAGUCGAACGAGCGAGAGAGAGCUUGCUUUCUCAAGCGAGUGGCGAACGGGUGAGUAACGCGUGAGGAACCUGCCUCAAAGAGGGGGACAACAGUUGGAAACGACUGCUAAUACCGCAUAAGCCCACGACCCGGCAUCGGGUAGAGGGAAAAGGAGCAAUCCGCUUUGAGAUGGCCUCGCGUCCGAUUAGCUAGUUGGUGAGGUAAUGGCCCACCAAGGCGACGAUCGGUAGCCGGACUGAGAGGUUGAACGGCCACAUUGGGACUGAGACACGGCCCAGACUCCUACGGGAGGCAGCAGUA